AUCGGAUUUGUUGAUGGCUCAUGUCCUCGACCAACCACUAAUGUGGCUGAACAGAGGCUGUGGGAUAGAUGUAAUAACAUGGUCAUUUCCUGGUUGACCGCUUCCCUAUCUCCUCAGAUUGCUGAUAAGCAGUAUUCUGAUAUUGCACAGAGUAUAUGGUCCAAAAUUGAGAAAAGAUAUGGUACUACUAACAAGACUAAAAUUUUGAAUUAAAAAGGGAACUCUCUCACACAUCUCAAGGCUGUUUAGAUGUAGCCUCAUUCUUUAAUAAACUCAAAGGCCUGUGGGAUGAGUUGGGCACAAUGUGCACAAAUCAUGGGCAGAGAUGUGUGUGUGCUGCUAAAAAUAGAGUAAUUCAGGAAGAUGAUGAAAACAAGGUAUUCCAGUUUCUUAUGGGGUUAAAUGAAGCAUACAUGGGGGUUAGGAGUAACUUGUUUAUGAUGCAGCCAUUUCCUUCCCUUGACAGUGUUUACAAUAUAGUUCUUAAUGAUGAGAAACAGAGACAAGUUCAAUAUAUUUCUCAAAUCAGUCCAGAUUCUAUGUCUUUUAAUACUAAUACAAAUAAGCACUCAGUUGGGUUUAAUCAGGCCACAGUGCCCAGUCCCCCUGUUUUCAGACCCAGAGUUAAUUUUGAGCAAAGUAGAGGGCCUUUAUUUUGCAGAUACUGCAAGAAAUUUGGGCACUUAAUUGAUAAGUGAUAUAAGAUUCAUGGGUUUCCUCAAAAUUUCAAAUACAACAAGGGAAGGAAAUCUGCUGCUUCUCAUGUCUCCACUCGUGAGGACAGUGUGUCUGUUAAUCAUGGGAAUCCUAAUAUGUCUGUUCAUUUUGGGGAUCCUCCUGGCAGCCAUCACCCUGUUACAAACAUAGAUGGCCAGAGUUCUGUGAUACCAGGGUUGAGCAGACAUCAUUAUUAUCAAUUGAUGAGCUUGCUGCAACAGACCCAGUUAGGGGAUUCCAGUGCUCAAACUCCUCCUCCCGUGUGUGCUGCUAAUUUUGCUGGUACUAUGUUGACUGAGAGUCCUGAGUCCUGUUUCUGAUUCCAAGUUAUGCAUGCUUACACACAUUAAUUCUGUCACCUGGAUCAUAGAUUCAGGGGCAUCAAAUCACAUGACACAUGAUAAAAACUUGCUUUUUAACAUCAUACCUUUGACUGUUCCUUAUCUUGUAACUUUUCCCAAUGGCUACAAAGUGGAAGUAACUUGUACAGGUUCUUUUGCAUUAACUUCAUCCCUUACUCUUCACAAUGUGCUUCUGGUUCCUUCCAUUAAACACAACUUGAUUUCUAUCCACAAGUUGGUAAAAUAAUUGCAAUGUAUAGUUUUGUUUACUCCAACUUCCUGUUUACUUCACAUGAUACAGGACCCUUCUCUGAAGAGGCUUCUGGAUCUUGGUAAAGAGAAAGUUGGCCUAUACAAACUGUCUUGGGUGCCACCUUCCCCUUCUUGCUCUACUGGUUCUCCAUCUACUUCUGUAUGUGCUUUGUCUGAUUUUUGUAAUGAUGACAAUGUGUCUGACAACAAAAAUGUUGCUUUGCCUCCAAUUGUAAUAAUGCUGUUACCACUGAUAUGAAUUACAUUUGGCAUUUAAGACUAGCACAUACUUCAUUUGCAGAUAUGAGACAUAUUUCUGGUUUGUCUUUUCCACUUGCUUCUAAACAACCUUUUCCUUGUUCUGUCAGUCAAAUUGUAAAUAAUCCCAUUUGUAAUAAUGUUUUUACUACUGAUAUGAAUUACAUUUGGCAUUUAAGACUAGCACAUACUUCAUUUCCAAGUAUGAGACAUAUUUCUGGUUUGUCUUUUCCACUGCUUCUAAACAACCUUUUCCUUGUUCUGUCUGUCCUACGGCCAAACAAACCAGACUUCCUUUUCCUGAUAGCAAUAUCAGUACUACUAGACCUUUUCAAUUGAUACAUGUGGAUACUUGGGGACCUUACCACACCUCUACUUCUUCUGGUUAUAGAUACUUCCUUACAAUAGUUGAUGAUUUCUCUAGGGAAACAUGGACAAACUUAAUGGGCUCUAAAAGCAAUGCCUUUUCCCUGCUUAAGUCUUUCAUCUGUUUUGUUAAAACUCAGUUUAAC
rnacentral:lncRNA from 1 species